rnacentral:rRNA from 1 species
UACGGAGGGUGCAAGCGUUAUCCGGAUUUACUGGGUUUAAAGGGUGUGUAGGUGGGUCUGUAAGUCAGUGGUGAAAUCUCCGAGCUUAACUCGGAAACUGCCAUUGAUACUAUAGGUCUUGAAUUAUCUGGAGGUAAGCGGAAUAUGUCAUGUAGCGGUGAAAUGCUUAGAUAUGACAUAGAACACCAAUUGCGAAGGCAGCUUACUACGGAUUGAUUGACACUGAGGCACGAAAGCGUGGGGAUCAAACAGG